rnacentral:rRNA from 1 species
GACGAACGCUGGCGGCGUGCUUAACACAUGCAAGUCGAACGCUGAAGCUUGGUGCUUGCCCUGGGUGGAUGAGUGGCGAACGGGUGAGUAAUACGUGAGUAACCUGCCCUUGACUCUGGGAUAAGCCUGGGAAACUGGGUCUAAUACUGGAUACGACAUGUCACCGCAUGGUGGUGUGUGGAAAGGGUUUUACUGGUUUUGGAUGGGCUCACGGCCUAUCAGCUUGUUGGUGGGGUAAUGGCUCACCAAGGCGACGACGGGUAGCCGGCCUGAGAGGGUGACCAGCCACACUGGGACUGAGACACGGCCCAGACUCCUACGGGAGGCAGCAGUGGGGAAUAUUGCACAAUGGGCGGAAGCCUGAUGCAGCGACGCCGCGUGAGGGAUGACGGCCUUCGGGUUGUAAACCUCUUUCAGCACGGAAGAAGCGAAAGUGACGGUACGUGCAGAAGAAGCGCCGGCUAACUACGUG